UACAGAGGGGGCAAGCGUUAUUCGGAAUUAUUAGGCGUAAAGGGCGCGUAGGCGGCCUGGCAAGUGGAAGGUGAAAUCCCUCGGCUUAACCGAGGAACUGCCCUCCAAACUGCUUGGCUUGAGUCCGGGAGAGGUGAGUGGAAUUCCCAGUGUAGCGGUGAAAUGCGUAGAUAUUGGGAGGAACACCAGUGGCGAAGGCGGCUCACUGGACCGGAACUGACGCUGAGGCGCGAAAGCGUGGGGAGCGAACAGG
rnacentral:rRNA from 1 species